rnacentral:rRNA from 1 species
AACGAACGCUGGCGGCAGGCUUAACACAUGCAAGUCGAGCGCCCCGCAAGGGGAGCGGCAGACGGGUGAGUAACGCGUGGGAACGUGCCCUUUGGUUCGGAACAACUCCGGGAAACUAGAGCUAAUACCGGAUAAGCCCUUCGGGGGAAAGAUUUAUCGCCAAAGGAUCGGCCCGCGUCUGAUUAGCUAGUUGGUGAGGUAAUGGCUCACCAAGGCGACGAUCAGUAGCUGGUCUGAGAGGAUGAUCAGCCACACUGGGACUGAGACACGGCCCAGACUCCUACGGGAGGCAGCAGUGGGGAAUAUUGGACAAUGGGCGCAAGCCUGAUCCAGCCAUGCCGCGUGAGUGAUGAAGGCCUUAGGGUUGUAAAGCUCUUUUGUCCGGGAAGAUAAUGACUGUACCGGAAGAAUAAGCCCCGGCUAACUUCGUGCCAGCAGCCGCCGCGGUAA